CCUACGGGUGGCAGCAGUGAGGAAUAUUGGUCAAUGGGCGGAAGCCUGAACCAGCCAAGUCGCGUGAGGGAAUAAGGCCCUACGGGUCGUAAACCUCUUUUGCCGGGGAGCAAGGGCGGGGACGUGUCCCGGCCCGGAGAGUACCCGGAGAAAAAGCAUCGGCUAACUCCGUGCCAGCAGCCGCGGUAAUACGGAGGAUGCGAGCGUUAUCCGGAUUUAUUGGGUUUAAAGGGUGCGUAGGCGGGCUUUUAAGUCAGCGGUAAAAAUUCGGGGCUCAACCCCGUCGUGCCGUGAAACUGAUGUUCUUGAGUGGGCGAGAAGUAUGCGGAAUGCGUGGUGUAGCGGUGAAAUGCAUAGAUAUCACGCAGAACUCCGAUUGCGAAGGCAGCAUACCGGCGCCCAACUGACGCUGAAGCACGAAAGCGUGGGUAUCGAACAGGAUUAGAUACCCGAGUAGUC
rnacentral:rRNA from 1 species